rnacentral:rRNA from 1 species
GAUGAACGCUGGCGGCGUGCCUAAUACAUGCAAGUCGAGCGAACAGACGAGGAGCUUGCUCCUCUGACGUUAGCGGCGGACGGGUGAGUAACACGUGGAUAACCUACCUAUAAGACUGGGAUAACUUCGGGAAACCGGAGCUAAUACCGGAUAACAUGUUGAACCGCAUGGUUCAACAGUGAAAGACGGUCUUGCUGUCACUUAUAGAUGGAUCCGCGCCGCAUUAGCUAGUUGGUAAGGUAACGGCUUACCAAGGCAACGAUGCGUAGCCGACCUGAGAGGGGGAUCGGCCACACUGGAACUGAGACACGGUCCAGACUCCUACGGGAGGCAGCAGUAGGGAAUCUUCCGCAAUGGGCGAAAGCCUGACGGAGCAACGCCGCGUGAGUGAAGAAGGUCUUCGGAUCGUAAAACUCUGUUAUUAGGGAAGAACAAAUGUGUAAGUAACUAUGCACGUCUGGACGGUACCUAAUCAGAAAGCCACGGCUAACUACGU